AUUUGCCCGUAAGCCGUAAGCAUGCAAGCUGACAGGAAAUUCGCAUUGAAGUUAAGUUUAGUGCUAACCUAGGGUUAAACUAACCUGCUUUCACACAAUAAGCUUUAGAACAUACAUUGUAAAGCGCCGUUUACACUACGCUCAAUUUUUGGUACGGCACGGAUAAAAUUGGUACCCGUACCACUUUUUUGGUUCUUGGGCUACCUAUUUAGGUAGUCCAAGAAUCAAAAUAGUGGUACGGUACCAAAAUUGAGCGUAGUGUAAACAGGGCUAAAUAAGUGCUUUAGUUAAGGCUUUAUUAGACUCGUACCCGAUAGCUUCCGUAGCGACAUGACAAAACACCUACCCGUACUUUUUAGGAACGCUAUUUUCCUGAUGUUGUUUCGGUCAACUUCUGAAAGUCGUACAUUUCGUAUCUGAUAGGCGUUUUUCGCGCCGCUACGGAAAGCUAUCCGCUAUUGUGUCAACGUAGCCUAAGUUUCACAAAAAAACUGUCAACGAUUAAUUAGAGACUAAAGUUAGUUUAUUAAGGGGGCCUAUUAAGUUUCCAAUACUCGACCACUAUUUAUAUGUCAAAAAAUUACUACCCCCUCCCCACCGUUAAGCAAUCAUACACACCUGUAACGUGCCC